rnacentral:sRNA from 3 species
AUUCUACCCAUGUGGGGAAGGAUGAGAAGCUUCGACUAAGGUUCGAUUCGAGCGCAGCGAGAAAGCGUUGCCGCAGGCAACGACCCGAAG